rnacentral:lncRNA from 1 species
UCUCCAGGUCUGUUUCAACAUGGGACAUAUCACUUUAGCCAAAAAAUUGGCUAGGAAAGCCCUUCAACUGCUGAAAAGGAAUUUCCCUUGGACCUGGUUUGGUGUCCUUUUCCAGACAUUCCUGGAAAAUAUUGGCAUUCCUGUACCCUGAGCCAACCUCCAAACGACCCUAGUGAGAAUAAGAAGAAUUUGGCAGUCCUGCAGCAGCAGGUGCAUUGCCUCUCCCUACUCUGGCAGCUCUAUAACCUGGAGGCCACAGCCAGUAGCUACAGGUUUGCCUGCCUGGCUACUCUUAUGCAGAAGAAUUCAGCUGAUGAGUUUGCAAAUGAAGCCCAGGUUGUCUCUACCUAUGUGGAGCUCUCUCAGUUCUCCCAGAGCGUGGGCAUCAAGGACAAGUGGCUGCACUGUGAGCAGAUGGCCAUUCAGAAAAGCAGUUUAUGUUGGUUCUCCAGCGGGGGGGGGUUGUUGGCCACAGCUCAGCUCAUGCAGGCCCUGGCCUACACCAAGCUCUGCCUUGGCCAUCUUGACUUCUCCAUCAAGCUGGGUAAUGGGACUUAGGGAUGGUUGGUCUAGGGCUUUUAGAGAGUACAUGUUCACAGCUAGACCUCACAUGGUGCUCUUGAACCUCCUCAGGUUUUCAAGCUCGUGAGAUAUGCAGACACCUCCAGAAACCAGCUCUGGAGAAUCUGAUUCUCUCAGUUCUCUUCAGAUCUGCAUUUCUGAAGAAGAAGUAUUAAGAUCAUUUUCCGUCAUUUGUAUUUGUUUCCUAAGAGGGGUGUGUAUAUUUUUCCAGAGAAGUUUGGAGUGGAGAGGGAGAUGCUGUUCCAUUUCCACAUCCUGGGAUAUCCUUCCCUUGGCCACUCCAGACACAUUAUCUUAAGUGUGGAAGAGUCAGGAGUGGAAAUGCAGAGUCAGAGCUACUAUAUAUUCCU